GACGAACGCUGGCGGCGUGCUUAACACAUGCAAGUCGAACGAAGUGGAGAACGGGUGAGUAACGCGUAAUCAACCUGCCCUUCAGUGGGUGUCAACAGUUGGAAACGACUGCUAAUACCGCAUACUGAAGGAGGGGAUUGCGUCUGAUUAGCUAGGUGGAGGGGUAACGGCGAGCCAAGGCGAUGAGCAGUAGCCGGUCUGAGAGGAUGCACGGCCAAAUUGGUACUGAGACACGGCCCAGACUCCUACGGGAGGCAGAAGUGGGAAAUCUUCCGGAAUGGACGAAAGUCUGACGGAGCAACGACGCGUGAGUGAUGACGGCCUUCGGGUUGUAAAGCUCUGUUAAUCGGGACGCGGUACCGGAAUAGAAAGCCACGGCUAACUACGUGCCAGCAGCCGCGGUAAUUC
rnacentral:rRNA from 1 species